GCCGCUGUUUGAAGUUGGAGGUUCAAAAAUAUUUUGGUUAUAAUAUAUUCAAACUCUUUCUAAAGAAUUUUGGAAAAAUUUGAGUGGGUCCAGAUAUCACUUUCACCAGCAAUACUCAAGGGAAUUACAUCGUCGCUUCCACUAUUCAAAAUAGCAUAACCUGUGGCACAUAACCAGUACAAGUAUCUGCGUUAAUGCCCAACUCUGCAUUCAACAACCAAGUUAUUUGAAAACAAAUUUAAUCCUUUUUUGGAUUCGAACGAUCUUAAUUUAUAUGUGCAAUCACCGACGAGACCACAGUUGAUUUCUAAACAAUAGGUAUAUAGGAAUAAACUAUAACACUUACCAAAUUGUUAUUCUACUAUAUUCUUUCAAAAGAGAUU